rnacentral:lncRNA from 1 species
GCGGUGCCGCCAGUGCCGAACGGACAGGGUUUCCCCUGUACUGCGGACAGAGUCUCCCCUGUACGUUCAAGGCAACGCAAUCAAUCCAAUACGAAGGUUUCAACCAGGAACUGAUAUCAAUCAAGAUUGCAUAAUGGAAGGUAUCAACAACAUAACACAUCCUAUAUUAUUACAGCAUUCUCAUUCACACAUUCUUUUUACAUCUCAAUUCUCAUUCUUUUCCUCCAAAUACAAUCUUGGUUAUUACAUCACUUAGAUUACAAGUUGAAUACA